UGUGAUACACCACUAGUUGAUGGGUAUAAUGAUGACUCUAUAAGCUGGAUGCCACUACUGCCCAGACCAUGUCCCAACCCAAAUGAUCUUUGUUGGCUCCCACUAACUGUUGGACUAAGUGGCAUCUUUGCUCUUCCAUCCCCAGAAUUAAUAGGACUCCAUCGUUGGAACCGGAAUGGUGAAGGGAUACUAAGUACUGCUGUAGCAGAUGCACUGUUAUGCCUGAAAAGUGAAAGAUAUGGUGUUUGAAAAACUCUUGGCAUCCCAUUGCCAAGACACGAUAUUGCACAAACCAGCAAAAUCAAUGAAAUAAUCAGAAUGGCAAUAAGAAAUAUCGGAUGUAUCUUCAUUUGAAGUAUUUGAUAAGUAGGAAGUCUCAGUCUAGGUGAAAAUGCCUUCCCAGCUUCAAAAAGAGCAACACCAAGUGUCCAAGUAAUACUUCCAGAACCAAUAAUAAUGUGGUCAUCUGUGAUAUGUAAACCCUCUCU
rnacentral:misc_RNA from 1 species